UGGGGAAUUUUGGACAAUGGGCGCAAGCCUGAUCCAGCAAUGCCGCGUGCAGGAUGAAGGCCUUCGGGUUGUAAACUGCUUUUGUACGGAACGAAAAGCCUCUCUCUAAUACAGGGGGGUGAUGACGGUACCGUAAGAAUAAGCACCGGCUAACUACGUGCCAGCAGCCGCGGUAAUACGUAGGGUGCAAGCGUUAAUCGGAAUUACUGGGCGUAAAGCGUGCGCAGGCGGUUUUGUAAGACAGUGGUGAAAUCCCCGGGCUCAACCUGGGAACUGCCAUUGUGACUGCAAGGCUGGAGUGCGGCAGAGGGGGAUGGAAUUCCGCGUGUAGCAGUGAAAUGCGUAGAUAUGCGGAGGAACACCGAUGGCGAAGGCAAUCCCCUGGGCCUGCACUGACGCUCAUGCACGAAAGCGUGGGGAGCAAACAGGAUUAGAUACCCUGGUAGUCCACGCCCUAAACGAUGUCAACUGGUUGUUGGGGAUUUAUUUCUUCAGUAACGAAGCUAACGCGUGAAGUUGACCGCCUGGGGGAGUACGGCCGCAAGGUUAAAAACUCAAAUGAAUUGACGGGGUC
rnacentral:rRNA from 1 species